rnacentral:rRNA from 1 species
UAGAAGAAAGUAAAGAAGAGUACACGGGGGAUGCCUUGGCUCUCGGAGGCGAUGAAGGACGUGAUAAGCUGCGAUAAGCACCGGUGAUCUGCAAAUAGGAACUAUACCCGGUGAUUUCCGAAUGGGGCAACCCGGCAUGUUGAAGACAUGUCACCAUCAAGGAGCAAACCUGCCGAACUGAAACAUCUAAGUAAGCAGAGGAAGAGAAAAUAACAAUGAUUUCCUGAGUAGUGGCGAGCGAAAGGGAAAGAGCCCAAACCACACCUGUUACGGCAUGUGUGGGGUUGUAGGACUGUGAUGUGGUUACAAUGUAAUGAAGUGGAACGGGAUGGGAAGCCCGGCGAUACAAGGUGAUAGCCCUGUACACGUAAAUACCAUUGGCCUAACAGUAUCCUGAGUACCGCGAGGUCGGAGACGCCUUGUGGGAAUCUGCCGGCACCAUCCGGUAAGGCUAAAUACUCCCGAGAGACCGAUAGUGAACCAGUACCGUGAGGGAAAGGUGAAAAGAACCCCGAACAGGGGAGUGAAAUAGAACCUGAAACCGUGUACUUACAAGCGGUCGGAGCAUCCAGGUGGUGUGACGGCGUGCCUUUUGCAUAAUGAGCCUACGAGUUACUCUUCUCUGGCAAGGUUAAGUGCUUCAGGCACGGAUCCGAAGCGAAAGCGAGUCUGAAUAGGGCGUAUAGUCAGAGGAGGUAGACGCGAAACCUUGUGAUCUACCCAUGGACAGGUUGAAGGUGCGGUAACACGUACUGGAGGACCGAACCGAUAAACGUUGAAAAGUUUCCGGAUGAUCUGUGGGUAGGGGUGAAAGGCUAAUCAAACUGGGAAAUAGCUCGUACUCCCCGAAAUGUUUUUAGGAACAGCGUGGAUAUUAAGUUUCAUAGAGGUAGAGCUACUGAUUGGGUGCGGGGGAGUCAAAUCCUACCAAAUCCAGACAAACUCCGAAUGCUAUGAAAUAUGAUCUGCAGUGAGGCGCGGGGUGCUAAGGUCACGCGCCGAGAGGGAAAGAACCCAGACCAUCAGCUAAGGUCCCCAAGUUACAGUUAAGUUGAACUAACGAGGUCCGGUUGCACAGACAGCUAGGAUGUUGGCUUGGAAGCAGCCAUUCAUUUAAAGAGUGCGUAACAGCUCACUAGUCGAGCGGCCGGGCAUGGAUAAUAAACGGGCAUUAAAUUGUACACCGAAGCUAUGGGAUUGAAAUAUAUCGGUAGGGGAGCAUUCUAGCGGCAGUGAAGGUACCUGGUAAUGGGUGCUGGAGCUUCUAGAAAAGCAAAUGUAGGCAUAAGUAACGAUAAGGCGGGCGAGAAACCCGCCCACCGAAAGGAUAAGGUUUCCUGAUCAACGCUAAUCGGAUCAGGGUUAGUCGGGUCCUAAGGAGAACCCGAAGGGGAUAUUCGAUGGACAACUGGUUAAUAUUCCAGUACUUUUUAUAACUGCGAUGUGGGGACGGAGUAGUGACACUGCCGCGAUCUGACGGAAUAGAUCGUUGAAGGCUGUAGGUAUACAUUUGGUAGGCAAAUCCGCCGAGUGUGCUGA